GGCCACUCUUCUCAACCUGAAAAGAAGAUGUAAUGGUAACACUACUUCUUCUCUUGACUGUAUGGUCAUUAGCAAAAUUGAAGCUCAAAGGUCUUGUGGUAAACCUAAAUUUAAUCUUUAUGUUAUCCCUGCACCAUGCAUAUGUUCACUCUAGGUACUUAAGCGUCUUUAUGCAGUGUAAGAAGUGACUGGUUUAUUCCAACUUGUCCUUUGUCAUGGAUGGACAGGGAGUUGUUAUAAGGCUGUCCAAGCAAGUGAAUGCCUGUAACAGGAAACUGAAGAAGAUUGUUACAGAGUACAAUAAUCUGCAGUGGCCUCCACAAACUGGCAUCUUUCCAUCACAUUUAGAAUUUUGAGAAUUGUGUGAUGCCUCCUCCCAGCUGUACACAUUGUUUGAUGAAGAAAUUGAAGAUCAUGGUGUUGUUCCAAAGAACCUAAAAAGUCGAGCAAUAGAAGCCCUGCAUUUGAAGACUAGAGCAACUGAAGAAAAGCUUCUACUUAAGAGAGA